UAAACUGUAAAAUAUAAAUAAUAAAUUUAUAUAAUAUAUAAAUAAAAUAUAAAUUAAUCUGUUAAUAUAUUAUUUUACAUACAUUUUCAUAUUAAUCCAAUACGAUAAAUAUAUGAUAAGAAAUGUAUGUGAUACAAUUGACGGGUCAAAAAAUAAAAAUUACUAAUAUAUCUUAUAAACUUAUCGUGUUUAGAAAUAUCAUAUUUAAAACUAUUUAAUAAGGAUAAAUGUUAAAAUACCUACCGCCAUUUAUACAAAGCAAAUAUUUAUUUAUACAAAAAAAAACACCCGAAUAGAUAUGUAAGUCAUGCACUAGUUAAUUUUAAAAAAUUAGACUAUGGCCGUUUGACGUAAAAAAAAAAAAUAAUUAAACUAUUAGAAGCUUGAUGACUAAUCAAUUCUUCCAUCUCUCCUCGUUUGCCCUUAACUUUUAUUUCAUUUCUUUAUGUUAGUUCAUGAGAUACUCAUAAAAAUCCAGCCAAUGGACAUGCCGUUAGAGUAUUCUCCUCCAUUUAUCUUAUUUUUACCAGACUCUUUAACUUCACC
rnacentral:lncRNA from 1 species